GUAUAUAUAUAGCUGCAUACCAACAGUAAGGCAUGCUGCAGCAUGCAACUCUAGCCAGCUACAGAGCUACCAAUGAUAUCACCAUUGUUGUUGCGCUGCAUCUUGGCGCCUUUGCUCAUGGUGGGUGCAUGGUUUAGGGGGGCUUAGGAGGCAUCGGGAACUCGACUUGCACCAGCGUCCAUGACAAUGCUUCCAUUGUGGCCUACCUCUGUGCCUUCCUCCUUAUCCUGCUCUGUUGCUGCUGGCGCGCGUGUGGAACUGUAGACGAGGAAGGAGGGAGUCUCCAGAUCUUGUUUUAAAGACAAAAGACUGAGUGUUCUCCGUAGCUGCGAUCGGAGGAAGGGCAUGAUCCUAAUCAUUAAUCAUUUGUCUCUAAGCUAAAUUUUAAAUUAGGAGUUGAUUUUGAGAGUUUUUCAUCGUGCUUUAUUUUUCAGUCGGUGUUUUUAGAUCAGUGUGAGCAUCUAUAUAAUAAAUUUCCUCAUAAAUUUUUUCAUGUUGUUUCGGCUAUGCUUAUAAAAAGGAAAAAAAUAAGGCAGUGUCU
rnacentral:lncRNA from 1 species